rnacentral:hammerhead_ribozyme from 1 species
AUCCAAAUGGCGAGUCCCAAAUGGGACGAAACGCGUGUCCUGGAU